GCUCUUAAAAUCGAUGCAUCAUUCAAAGCCCAAUGGUCUAACUGCCUCACUCCCAUCAGGCUCCAGUAGUGUUCUGAUGGGCAAAGGACAGUUGACACUAGGUCAUGCCCCAGGUCUGUGAUUCUGGGUGAGCCCAGGGAGAAUGCAUGGGUAACAUUCUAUAGCCAAUCUCAAGAGGACCUGAUUGCUGGGAGUGUGGUAUCUGAGGUUCUGAUGUCACUUUCCAACUGAGACC